rnacentral:misc_RNA from 1 species
GAUGAAGAACGUAGCGAAAUGCGAUAAGUAAUGCGAAUUGCAGAAUUUCCGUGAGUCAUCGAAUCUUUGAACGCACAUUGCGCCCAUUGGCAUUCCGAUGGGCAUGCCUGUUCGAGCGUCAUUAUCCUCCCUCAAACCCCUGGGUUUGGUGUUGGACUGUGUGGUGCCUGGCACCACUGGUCUCAAAGACAAUGACGGCGUCCGUGGGACCCUCGGUGCAACGAGCUUUUCGAAGCACGCGUCGAGUGNNNNNNCUCUCCGGGCCGGUCACCUCUCCAAUUUUUCUCAGGUUGACCUCGGAUCAGGUAGGAAUACCCGCUGAACUUAAGCAUAUCAAUAAGCGGAGGA